AACAGGUGUGGAGAGGAAGAGAGGAGCAAGCAUAUAUAUAUAUUUGGCAUUCCAGGAAGAUGGAGAUGGGAUUAUAGAAGUGCUGUUAGUACCAGGGACACUGGACAAGAAAGAUAAGCAAGCCACUGCUGUCUGAUUCCUACAUAGCUGGUUAAAGUGUUGCAUUCAUAAUUCCCAUUUCAGGAAGACUGAAAACCAGACUUUAUUCUGUUAGAUCCCAAGAUAUCAAGGAAGAGGAAAAGGGAAGAGCCCCCAGGCACUAUUGAACCGCAGCUACAAUCACUGCCGUUUGAAACUUCCCACCAAACAACUUUACUAAUCUGAUUUAAUUUCAACUCCCAGGGAGAGUUAGUAUUAGGACGAAGUACCUACCAUCCAUGAUAAUCCACCAGCUCUGGGGGUUUAGAAGGGAAAGGAUGGAGGUCUCAGUGCUUGAGGCUAGGCUGACAGCUGAGCAGGGCUCCAGCUCACCUUAAUCUCACUCCUGUGGGUACCUGCACUAGGAGCCUGAGCAUUCUCACAGAUCUCUGCAUAGGAGGCUGCCCUUAGGCAUUAUUAAGGUGUGAAAGCAGCAAGAAAGAGCAGAAUUAAACGGCUUUUCUCUAAUGUAUCCUUUUACAGCCCAGUGUAUUUUGCCCUAGGCUAGCCUUUUCUUCUCCUUUCACCUUCCACAUGCCAGUCCAAGACAGCCUUUCUUCUCACAGGAAUUAUUGUAUUAUUCUUAAAUUCUUUUUUUCUUCUCUAUGGCUUUUCUAGAGGAAACCUAACAGUGUGGGUUUAUCAACAAUUUUGACAAGACUCUGAAUUCCACUGAACAGAUUUUUGAAUAAAAAUUAUGAACAAAGAAAGUGUAGUAAAUCUGCUAAUAGAAAAACUGACUAUGCCUUGUGGGAAAAUUUCUGUGUGUGUGACAUUCCAUUGCGUACCUGCCAGAGAAGAAAACAAUUGGGCCUGUUACUCAAAUUGUUCAAUUUUAAAGCGGGUCCAUUGUUAUGAUUGGACUUUAUUCCAUUAUAAACACUUGCAAAAGGAUGACAUAAAGUGACAAUAUAAUAGAAUGAUUAUAUGUAAUGAAUUUACUGAAGAACCUCUACCUUUUGGAGUAUAAACAAUGUUUUGGAUUUUUUUGUUUGUUUGUUUUUCUCCCAUCAUUUUCAGCAGAGUUUUCUUGCAUUUCUCCUUGCAAGCCUUUUAAACAAUAUCAUCUACAAUUUUCUGCUUGCUUAUGAUUAUCAAAACUAAACCCAAUUCUAUUUAAAA
rnacentral:lncRNA from 1 species